rnacentral:rRNA from 1 species
UACGUAGGGGCCGAGCGUUGUCCGGAGUUAUUGGGCGUAAAGCGCGCGCAGGCGGCUUCGCGCGUCCGACGUGAAAGCCCCCGGCUCAACCGGGGAGGGUCGUUGGGUACGGCGGAGCUUGAGGGCGGUAGAGGUUGGUGGAAUUCCCGGUGUAGUGGUGAAAUGCGUAGAGAUCGGGAGGAACACCAGUGGCGAAGGCGGCCUUCUGGACCAAUACUGACGCUCAUGCACGAAAGCGUGGGGAGCAAACAGG